GGGUUGUGAGGUUAAGCGACUAAGCGUACACGGUGGAUGCCCUGGCAGUCAGAGGCGAUGAAGGACGUGCUAAUCUGCGAAAAGCGUCGGUAAGGUGAUAUGAACCGUUAUAACCGGCGAUGUCCGAAUGGGGAAACCCAGUGCAAUUCGUUGCACUAUCGUUAACUGAAUACAUAGGUUAACGAGGCGAACCGGGGGAACUGAAACAUCUAAGUACCCCGAGGAAAAGAAAUCAACCGAGAUUCCCCCAGUAGCGGCGAGCGAACGGGGAGCAGCCCAGAGUCUGAAUCAGCUUGUGUGUUAGUGGAACGGUCUGGAAAGUCCGACGGUACAGGGUGAUAGUCCCGUACACCAAAAUGCACAGGUUGUGAACUCGAAGAGUAGGGCGGGACACGUGGUAUCCUGUCUGAAUAUGGGGGGACCAUCCUCCAAGGCUAAAUACUCCUGACUGACCGAUAGUGAACCAGUACCGUGAGGGAAAGGCGAAAAGAACCCCGGCGAGGGGAGUGAAAAAGAACCUGAAACCGUGUACGUACAAGCAGUGGGAGCACCUUCGGGUGUGACUGCGUACCUUUUGUAUAAUGGGUCAGCGACUUAUAUUCUGUAGCAAGGUUAACCGUAUAGGGGAGCCGCAGGGAAACCGAGUCUUAACUGGGCGUUAAGUUGCAGGGUAUAGACCCGAAACCCGGUGAUCUAGCCAUGGGCAGGUUGAAGGUUGGGUAACACUAACUGGAGGACCGAACCGACUAAUGUUGAAAAAUUAGCGGAUGACUUGUGGCUGGGGGUGAAAGGCCAAUCAAACCGGGAGAUAGCUGGUUCUCCCCGAAAGCUAUUUAGGUAGCGCCUCGUGAACUCAUCUUCGGGGGUAGAGCACUGUUUCGGCUAGGGGGUCAUCCCGACUUACCAACCCGAUGCAAACUACGAAUACCGAAGAAUGUUAUCACGGGAGACACACGGCGGGUGCUAACGUCCGUCGUGAAGAGGGAAACAACCCAGACCGCCAGCUAAGGUCCCAAAGUCAUGGUUAAGUGGGAAACGAUGUGGGAAGGCACAGACAGCCAGGAUGUUGGCUUAGAAGCAGCCAUCAUUUAAAGAAAGCGUAAUAGCUCACUGGUCGAGUCGGCCUGCGCGGAAGAUGUAACGGGGCUAAACCAUGCACCGAAGCUGCGGCAGCGACACUAUGUGUUGUUGGGUAGGGGAGCGUUCUGUAAGCCUGCGAAGGUGACCUGUGAGGGUUGCUGGAGGUAUCAGAAGUGCGAAUGCUGACAUAAGUAACGAUAAAGCGGGUGAAAAGCCCGCUCGCCGGAAGACCAAGGGUUCCUGUCCAACGUUAAUCGGGGCAGGGUGAGUCGACCCCUAAGGCGAGGCCGAAAGGCGUAGUCGAUGGGAAACAGGUUAAUAUUCCUGUACUUGGUGUUACUGCGAAGGGGGGACGGAGAAGGCUAUGUUAGCCGGGCGACGGUUGUCCCGGUUUAAGCAUGUAGGCUGGUUAUCCAGGCAAAUCCGGAUAAUCAAGGCUGAGGUGUGAUGACGAGGCACUACGGUGCUGAAGUAACAAAUGCCCUGCUUCCAGGAAAAGCCUCUAAGCAUCAGGUAACAUUAAAUCGUACCCCAAACCGACACAGGUGGUCAGGUAGAGAAUACCAAGGCGCUUGAGAGAACUCGGGUGAAGGAACUAGGCAAAAUGGUGCCGUAACUUCGGGAGAAGGCACGCUGGUGUGUAGGUGAAGUCCCUGCGGAUGGAGCUGAGACCAGUCGAAGAUACCAGCUGGCUGCAACUGUUUAUUAAAAACACAGCACUGUGCAAACACGAAAGUGGACGUAUACGGUGUGACGCCUGCCCGGUGCCGGAAGGUUAAUUGAUGGGGUUAUCCGUAAGGAGAAGCUCUUGAUCGAAGCCCCGGUAAACGGCGGCCGUAACUAUAACGGUCCUAAGGUAGCGAAAUUCCUUGUCGGGUAAGUUCCGACCUGCACGAAUGGCGUAAUGAUGGCCAGGCUGUCUCCACCCGAGACUCAGUGAAAUUGAACUCGCUGUGAAGAUGCAGUGUACCCGCGGCAAGACGGAAAGACCCCGUGAACCUUUACUAUAGCUUGACACUGAACAUUGAGCCUUGAUGUGUAGGAUAGGUGGGAGGCUUUGAAGCGUGGACGCCAGUCUGCGUGGAGCCAACCUUGAAAUACCACCCUUUAAUGUUUGAUGUUCUAACGUUGGCCCCUGACCGGGGUUGCGGACAGUGUCUGGUGGGUAGUUUGACUGGGGCGGUCUCCUCCCAAAGCGUAACGGAGGAGCACGAAGGUUAGCUAAUCCUGGUCGGACAUCAGGAGGUUAGUGCAAUGGCAUAAGCUAGCUUGACUGCGAGCGUGACGGCGCGAGCAGGUGCGAAAGCAGGUCAUAGUGAUCCGGUGGUUCUGAAUGGAAGGGCCAUCGCUCAACGGAUAAAAGGUACUCCGGGGAUAACAGGCUGAUACCGCCCAAGAGUUCAUAUCGACGGCGGUGUUUGGCACCUCGAUGUCGGCUCAUCACAUCCUGGGGCUGAAGUAGGUCCCAAGGGUAUGGCUGUUCGCCAUUUAAAGUGGUACGCGAGCUGGGUUUAGAACGUCGUGAGACAGUUCGGUCCCUAUCUGCCGUGGGCGCUGGAGAAUUGAGGGGGGCUGCUCCUAGUACGAGAGGACCGGAGUGGACGCAUCACUGGUGUUCGGGUUGUCAUGCCAAUGGCACUGCCCGGUAGCUAAAUGCGGAAGAGAUAAGUGCUGAAAGCAUCUAAGCACGAAACUUGCCCCGAGAUGAGUUCUCCCUGAGACUUUAAGUCUCCUGAAGGAACGUUGAAGACGACGACGUUGAUAGGCCGGGUGUGUAAGCGCAGCGAUGCGUUGAGCUAACCGGUACUAAUGAACCGUGAGGCUUAACCUUACAACGCCGAAG
rnacentral:rRNA from 1 species